rnacentral:rRNA from 1 species
UACGGGGGGGGCAAGCGUUGUUCGGAAUUACUGGGCGUAAAGGGCUCGUAGGCGGCUCGCUAAGUCAGACGUGAAAGCCCUCGGCUUAACCGGGGAACGGCGUCUGAGACUGGCAAGCUUGAAUCCGGGAGAGGGAUGCGGAAUUCCAGGUGUAGCGGUGAAAUGCGUAGAUAUCUGGAGGAACACCGGUGGCGAAGGCGGCAUCCUGGACCGGUAUUGACGCUGAGGAGCGAAAGCCAGGGGAGCAAACAGG